rnacentral:snoRNA from 1 species
CAGUACGUUUCCAAGGGCUAUGGCUGGUUGUGGCCAUGGGAUCUCCAACUGAUGGGUAGCAUU